CCUACGGGGGGCAGCAGUCGAGAAUCAUUCACAAUGGGGGAAACCCUGAUGGUGCGACGCCGCGUGGGGGAAUGAAGGUCUUCGGAUUGUAAACCCCUGUCAUGUGGGAGCAAAUUAAAAAGAUAGUACCACAAGAGGAAGAGACGGCUAACUCUGUGCCAGCAGCCGCGGUAAUACAGAGGUCUCAAGCGUUGUUCGGAAUCACUGGGCGUAAGGCGUGCGUAGGCUGUUUCGUAAGUCGUGUGUGAAAGGCGCGGGCUCAACCCGCGGACGGCACAUGAUACUGCGAGACUAGAGUAAUGGAGGGGGAACCGGAAUUCUCGGUGUAGCAGUGAAAUGCGUAGAUAUCGAGAGGAACACUCGUGGCGAAGGCGGGUUCCUGGACAUUAACUGACGCUGAGGCACGAUGGCCAGGGGAGCGAAAGGGAUUAGAUACCCCUGUAGUC
rnacentral:rRNA from 1 species